rnacentral:rRNA from 1 species
GUGAGGAAUCUUCCACAAUGGGCGAAAGCCUGAUGGAGCAACGCCGCGUGAAGGAUGAAGGUCUUCGGAUUGUAAACUUCUUUUAUGAGUGAAGAAUAUGACGGUAACUCAUGAAUAAGCACCGGCUAACUACGUGCCAGCAGCCGCGGUCAUACGUAGGGUGCAAGCAUUAUCCGGAGUGACUGGGCGUAAAGAGUUGCGUAGGCGGUUAUGUAAGCGAAUAGUGAAACCUGGUGGCUCAACCACACAGACUAUUAUUCGAACUGCAUAACUCGCGGAUGGGAGAGGUAACUGGAAUUUCUUGUGUGGGAGUGCAAUCCGUAGAUAUAAGAAGGAACACCAAGGGCGUAGGCAGGUUACUGGGCCAUUUCUGACGCUAAGGCACGAAAGCGUGGGGAGCGAACCGAAUUAGAAACCCUGGUAGUCC